rnacentral:lncRNA from 1 species
AGUCAUGCAAGACAAAGCCAUAAGAUGGAGGAAGAGGAGGAGGCGGACACCAGCACUUUCUACUGUUGGAGAUGAUGCAUCAGCACGAAGAUCAGGUGUCUUCACUGAGUUGGGAGAUGAAGCAGUUAAGACAGUAAAGCUGUGGGUCAUGGUGGGAUAGGAUGUCUCCCCGGCUGGUUUCUAAAAUAGACCUAUUGAAGAACAUUUUCUGGUUAUUGGCUCUGUCUAGACUUCAUCUCAUUGAUCCUCCUUCUGCUUAAUUCUCUGUCUCUCCCUCAAAAUGUUCUUUUUAAUGCUCCAAGUAUUAAAUGUGCUUUGAAAGUGGAAAGUUGUUUAAAUGUUUUCAUUCUAACAUAAAUGCCUAAAGCAAAACGGAAAAAUGUAACUUGUAAACUAAAAUAUUGCCGAAUAUAUAUUUUUGAAAAUUCCCCUCGUCUCCCAUUAAGGAUAUUUGAAUUCUAUGAUAAUUACAAAGGCAGAACAUAAACAAAAAUCCUUUAGAUUUGAAUUUAUUUAAUUAUUUUUUAUUUAAAAAAAUGUGUUUUUCAAAAAUGACAGAAAUGCCUUAUAAAGACUGUAAAACCUGAAAAAUGUGAGCAGUAACCUAAAAAAAGGGGAAAAAUACAUUAUUUAAUUAAUGUCCAAAACUUUAUCAUUUAAAAUACCAACAAAUAUUUACAUAAGUGAAGAUAUGGCAGAAAAUCACAUUUAGAUUAGCCAAACUGUUUUUAAGGUUUACACAACAUUAAAAGUGAAUCCAAAAUUAUUGAACUGUAGUUAUGAAUCUGAUGAACUGCAGAAAUAAUUAUAGUAUUUUACAUUGUUAUUUAAAGCCAUAGUUUAUGAAAAUACUCUUUGUAAACUUUGAAUGGAGACUUCAUGAAUGAUAACUGGUCAAACUUGCUUGUGUUAUUAUGGGAUACAAACAGUACAGUAGUCAUGGAGGAUGCAGGAGUGGAGAAGUCUGUUAUGUCUGUGCUGAAAGUGUAUUUAUUUUUCUAUUUUGUAUUUUAAGGGGACACUAUUGAUUGUAAUUGCCAUGUCAGAACCCCAUGAAAAUGCUGAAACAAGCAUGAUCUGUCACUUCAUUUACACAUAAAGUUAUUUUCAGUCGUGGACAAAAAAUAUAUAUUCCCACACAAUUUGUUUAGGUAUUAGUUUAUUUAAUUAGCUAAAUGCAGUUCUUGUUUGAUUUAUUUUCUGUAUUUAACAAGUUAGCCAUUUUCUAGUGUUUUAGAGUUACUUGUGCAGCUGUAUUUCCUCGUCUGGAUGAGGGCGGAGCAGUUAUGUUAAAGCUUGAUUCCAUGGCCAGGAGGUGUCAAAGAGGGUCGACUCAAAAUCCUGUUUCACGAAUUGUUGGUGUGUUGACUCAUUAAUGUACGAAACUAAAAUUGUUCAAUUUCAGUACGGUUAUUAUAUCUUCUUAAACCAAUUAUCUGUUUGGGUUGUUUUGGUGUAUUGUGUAGUUCCCUCCAGCUCAUUUCAAUUAUUUGAUUAGACAACAUAAAAACCCCUUGAUGCAUUUUGUUUGGAG